rnacentral:rRNA from 1 species
UACGGGGGGAGCAAGCGUUGUUCGGAUUUACUGGGCGUAAAGGGCGCGUAGGCGGCCAGCACAAGUCAGUUGUGAAAUCUCCGGGCUUAACUCGGAAAGGUCAACUGAUACUGUGCGGCUAGAGUGCAGAAGGGGCAACUGGAAUUCUCGGUGUAGCGGUGAAAUGCGCAGAUAUCAGGAGGAAUACCGAUGGCGAAGGCAGGUCUCUGGGCUGACACUGACGCUCAUGCACGAAAGCGUGGGGAGCAAACAGG